CCUACGGGAGGCAGCAGUGAGGAAUUUUCUGCAAUGGGCGAAAGCCUGACAGAGCAAUACCGCGUGAGGGACGAAGACUUACUGGGUUGUAAACCUCGGUGCCUUAAGGAAGAAGAUCUGACGGUACUUAAGGUGGAAAGCAUCGGCUAACUCCGUGCCAGCAGCCGCGGUAAGACGGGGGAUGCAAGUGUUAUCCGGAAUCACUGGGCGUAAAGCGUCUGCAGGUGGUUUCCUAAGUCCACUGUUAAACCUUGAGGCUCAACCUCAAAUCUGCAGUGGAAACUAGGAGACUUGAGUAUAGUAGGGGUAGAGGGAAUUUCCAGUGGAGCGGUGAAAUGCGUAGAUAUUGGAAAGAACACCGAUGGCGAAGGCACUCUACUGGGCUAUUACUGACACUCAGAGACGAAAGCUAGGGGAGCAAAUGGGAUUAGAUACCCCAGUAGUCCUAGCCGUAAACGAUGGAUACUCGAUGUUGGACGUAUCGACCCGUUCAGUAUCUUAGCUAACGCGUUAAGUAUCCCGCCUGGGAAGUACGCUCGCAAGAGUGAAACUCAAAGGAAUUGACGG
rnacentral:rRNA from 1 species